AUUUUCCGGUUUCUACUAUCUAUUGAUAUGCCUCAAACACGGAAACAAACGCAACUUCAUGAAAUCAAUAAUACAGUGGCACAGUCAAGGGUCUGCUGGAAGAUGGAGACUUCUUCAACAAGUUGGUUACCAGCAUUUCCGAGAGGAUUUUUGAAAAGUUAAAUACCUACGUCGCUGAAAAAGUGUGGGAAAAAACUACUGUGCUCAAUCGUAUACCCAUAGAAAUAAUAUUUUGAUAUUUGGCGUUCGUGAAGAAGAUAACGAAGUUUUAACGGACAAGGUUAUCUCACUAUUGAAUACAAGAAUGGGUGUCAAGUUGGAUAAAGGAUAUAACCUAAACAAGACAUCAUUAGGAAAAGGAAGCUUCUUACGGGGACGCCCGUCGUUAUCAAGGAAGACCUAACUAAAGGACGACUAUCCUUGUUUAGGGAGUUACUAUCCAAGGUUGGGAAGAAGAACACUGGUCCAGGGAUGGCAAAUUGCAUUGCAAAAUAAAUAACCAAAAUAUUUACUUAGUUCAUGUUUUCUCCUGAUUUUCGAAUGUAUUAAUUUAGGUUACCUUGCUAUAUCUCACCUUAAAUUAUGCAAACUUUUGCCGGAAAAUUAUUCUCAUUUUUUAUGGGCUAGAUAAUUAAUAUGUAUGUUUGAACAGGACCAAUCAGCUUUGGGAAUACCGGCCAAACAACACGUGUCAUUAUAUACCUAUUUCUUUAAGUUUAAGCAACCCCUUUUUAAUACUUGUCUUACACCCCUGCACAAGGAGUUCUGGUUCGGAUGUAUGUUUUGUUUCAAAACUAAACUGCUCUACCGUCAUUAUUAGUGUCCAGGUCUGGUUCUCAAGAGGGUAAUAAUCCAGUAUUUAUUUAACCUCAUAUCGUACAUACAUACUGCAAACUAGGUGAUGGUGAAGUUCCCGAUUCUCAAUCCCCAAUGAAUAAAAUUGAGGAUUUUGCAGAGGAUUUGAGACAAGAAACUGUUCCUACUAUAUGGAAUCCAGGGUAGGUAUCAUCCGCUGGAUCACAUGUUAACGGGUAUUAUAGACAUACUAGCUGCUCCAGUAAUCAUCACUGAAAACCCACACUAUACCUCUUUUGAACAAUCAGUUCUUAACCACUUGGUGGAAAUUAAAGCCACACAACAGGCCCAUUACAAUUUUGUAAUGGAUAUGCUAAAGAGAAUAGGUCUAUCCAAUCACAGUGCCACAAUUAAUAAUUAUGACCCAUUAUCGUCUUUGCCCUGUACCUCACUUUUAGAAAUACAGGAACUGGGAAAUCUAUCAAAUGAAAAGAGGUGGUAAGUGUGGGAAUAUCAUAACGAAAGAUGAGCUGCCUAUUCCAAAAAUUUCGUGGGGAGAUGCUUGUCAACUGUUUUUCCCAUUGAAGUGGCACAACAAUGUUUGUGGACGGGACAAAGGCACAACUAAAAUAAAGAUUUAAGCAUUACCAAGGCAAUAAAAGGAGGACUGAGGAGUAAUAAAAGGUUUCCCAGAAAUAAGCUAACGAAAGUUUGAAGAAGCAGUUAUAAAUUGGUUCCGAUGUGCGACCCAAAGAACCAUAAGGGAAACUGGAAAUAAAUAAUGUCGUACAGUUACAGUAUUUGGCUUGUUUUAUACUCCUUUGGUAUUUAGUAGGAAAACUCAAACCCACCGAAAAAGCAAUAUCUCAAACGAGUUACUUAUACCAAAGCUUGACUUUCAGCAUUUUGUAUGAUCAUAUCUGUCAUUCAUAAUGUAUGA